rnacentral:ncRNA from 1 species
CUCAUGGAGAGUUUGAUCCUGGCUCAGUAUGAACGUUGGUGGCAUGCUUAACACAUGCAAUUCGGAUGGGGAGUGGUGUUUCCAAUGGCGGACGAGUGAGUAACGCGUAAGAACCUGCCCUUGGGAGGGGAAAAAACACCUGGAAACGGCUGAUAAUACCCCAUAGGCUGAGGAUAAAAAGGAGGAAUCUGCCUAAGGAGGGGCUCGCGUCUGAUUAGUUAGUUGGUGAGGAAAUGGCUUACCAAGGCGACGAUCAGUAGCUGGUCCAAGAGGAUGAUCAGCCACACUAGGACUGAGACACGGCCCAGACUCCUACGGGAGGCAGUAGUGGGGAAUUUUCUGCAAUGGGCGAAAUCCUGAAGGAGCAAUGCCGCAUGAAGGUAGAAGGCCCACGGGUCAUGAACUUAUUUUCUCGGAGAAGAAC